rnacentral:rRNA from 1 species
GAACGCUGGCGGCAGGCCUAACACCUGCAAGUCGAACGGUAACAGGAAGAAGCUUGCUUCUUUGCUGACGAGUGGCGGACGGGUGAGUUAUGUCUGGGAAACUGCCUGAUGGAGGGGGAUAACUACUGGAAACGGUAGCUAAUACCGCAUAACGUCGCAAGACCAAAGAGGGGGACCUUCGGGCCUCUUGCCAUCGGAUGUGCCCAGAUGGGAUUAGCUAGUAGGUGGGGUAACGGCUCACCUAGGCGACGAUCCCUAGCUGGUCUGAGAGGAUGACCAGCCACACUGGAACUGAGACACGGUCCAGACUCCUACGGGAGGCAGCAGUGGGGAAUAUUGCACAAUGGGCGCAAGCCUGAUGCAGCCAUGCCGCGUGUAUGAAGAAGGCCUUCGGGUUGUAAAGUACUUUCAGCGGGGAGGAAGGGAGUAAAGUUAAUACCUUUGCUCAUUGACGUUACCCGCAGAAGAAGCACCGGCUAACUCCGUGCCAGCAGCCGCGGUAAUACGGAGGGUGCAAGCGUUAAUCGGAAUUACUGGGCGUAAAGCGCACGCAGGCGGUUUGUUAAGUCAGAUGUGAAAUCCCCGGGCUCAACCUGGGAACUGCAUCUGAUACUGGCAAGCUUGAGUCUCGUAGAGGGGGGUAGAAUUCCAGGUGUAGCGGUGAAAUGCGUAGAGAUCUGGAGGAAUACCGGUGGCGAAGGCGGCCCCCUGGACGAAGACUGACGCUGAGGUGCGAAAG